rnacentral:ribozyme from 1 species
UGCCCAGCAACUCCUAUCCCUACCUCCUCGUGGUACUGGCCGGGGUACGAGUAACCUUAGGGAAGAUCGGGUAACCAACCCCCGGUGGGAACUUUGGUCGUAUGCUGACAGAGAAGG